ACCAUCCGUCGUCGCAUAACAGGGAAUCAGGUGAGAACCCUGAGCAGUACCCGCUACUGUCAUCUCCGUUUUGGGAAGCCCACAGCAACCACUGGCCGCACAGGCUGGGAAGGAGGGCUUCUUGGAGAGAGCCAGGAAACCUGCCAAUAUC
rnacentral:ncRNA from 1 species